UUUUGACGGAGAGUUUGAUCCUGGCUCAGGACGAACGCUGGCGGCGUGC
rnacentral:rRNA from 1 species